GCGCCAGAAGGAGGGCGGUGCAAUAGCCGGCGGGCACAGCUGCGUAAAGCCCGGAUAUCUCGCGAGACCCCGCCAGACUUUGUCUCGUGCUGGUUAAAGCCAGCGCGAGGACAAUCGCUGAACGGUUUGUUAAGGGCGGUAAUGGGCGUGUCAGGAAAAGAGCGAGGAGCUCGUGCUUGUCGGGGCGGCUGGUCUGGUCUGAUAGCAUAGGAUGCAAAAGACAGUUUUUCAAAAGAAGGCAAGUGAGAUGUUGGAAGCUGUCAUCUCUUUUUGCGGGGAAAGCCUACACUGAAAGCGGUUUUUCCAGGAAUGACCUGGGUUGCGUUGCUAGAGUCUGGAAAUCUGCGAUUCCUUUUUCCUCUCUCUCGACAAAAAGCAGCUCAAGAUACUGGAGGCUGAAUAUUGAAAGAAAGUUCUUCUUUAUACAACAAAUGGAAAGAGAAUUUGGAAUCUUGAACUGAGGUUAUAUUUUAUUUUUUCUUCCCCACCUUGUGAUUUUAUAUUAUAAGGUGGGAUAAAAAUAUAAUAAUACGUAUCACUUCUGUGGUAGCAGUACCUCUGGAGUAGAGUCAACAGUUACAGCUUAAGUUCCUGAGAAUGAGACAUCUUUCAUUUGAACACCUUAUGAAUGAAUACUUCUGAAACCAAGAAGCAUCCACCCAAACAUCUCUAUUCCUGGUUGCAGUACAUAAUGUACAAGAAUGUGUAGCCUGGAUGGAGAGAGAGUGAGGCUGCUGGACCCAUUUAAAACCUCAUUCCAACUGUGGUCCUUGUUGGAGCCCUCCAGGAUUCUGCAACCCUGACCAGCCUCACCUCACCCUGCCCCUUGUGAGGUGGGUUGGAAUGGGACAGGACAGAAACUGAAAUAUUUCAGCAUAUCCAAGCAAACUUUGAGGACAGUGCAAAGGAAAGCAGGUCCAUAAAUCAAGAAGAAAAGAUAAUCCAGGUACAAUAUCCAAAUGAAUCUAUGAAGAAUAUGAAGAAAACAUGAAUGGCAAAUAAAGUGUUCACAAUCAUUCCCAAUAAAAUUGUAUAAUCCACAGUUGAUAAAGGAUGCAUUAUGUUUAUUUCA